ensembl:snRNA U6 U6 spliceosomal RNA
GUGCUUGCUUCGACAGCACACAUACUAAAACCAGAACAAUACAGGGAAGAUUAGCAAGCCCCCUGUGCAAGGAUGACUUGCACAUUUAAGACUUGUUCCACAUUUCU